rnacentral:rRNA from 1 species
CCUACGGGUGGCAGCAGUGGGGAAUAUUGGGCAAUGGGCGCAAGCCUGACCCAGCAAUGCCGCGUGAAGGAAGAAGGCUUUCGGGUUGUAAACUUCUUUGACAGGGGAAGAGCAGAAGACGGUACCCUGAAAACAAGCCACGGCUAACUACGUGCCAGCAGCCGCGGUAAUACGUAGGUGGCAAGCGUUAUCCGGAUUUAUUGGGUUUAAAGGGUGCGUAGGCGGGCUUUUAAGUCAGCGGUAAAAAUUCGGGGCUCAACCCCGUCCGGCCGUUGAAACUGGGGGCCUUGAGUGGGCGAGAAGAAGGCGGAAUGCGUGGUGUAGCGGUGAAAUGCAUAGAUAUCACGCAGAACCCCGAUUGCGAAGGCAGCCUUCCGGCGCCCUACUGACGCUGAGGCACGAAAGUGCGGGGAUCGAACAGGAUUAGAUACCCUUGUAGUC